UACGGGGGGGGCAAGCGUUGUUCGGAAUUACUGGGCGUAAAGGGCUCGUAGGCGGCCAACUAAGUCAGACGUGAAAUCCCCUCGGCUUAACCGGGGAACUGCGUCUGAUACUGGAUGGCUUGAGGUUGGGAGAGGGAUGCGGAAUUCCAGGUGUAGCGGUGAAAUGCGUAGAUAUCUGGAGGAACACCGGUGGCGAAGGCGGCAUCCUGGACCAAUUCUGACGCUGAGUGAGCGAAAGCCAGGGGAGCAAACGGG
rnacentral:rRNA from 1 species